GUGAAUCAUCAAAUUUUUGAACGCAUAUUGCACUCUCUGGUAUUCCUGGGAGUAUGCCUGUUUGAGAAUAAUUAAAAAGAAUCUUGGACCAAUUUUUUUUAGUCAUAGGAAAUGAGCUCUCCUCGUUUAUAGCUGUAGCUUAGAAUGAAUGGUCAAUUCUCAUUUUAGUCGAGACGCGGAAUAAUAUUAUUUCGCGAAAUCUUCAUUAUGUGACUAUCAAGUUUUGAUGCAUAGCAAUUUGCUUUUUAUGCGAUCAAUACAAAUAUUUUGAACAUUACCUCAAAUCAGGUAGUAGUACCCG
rnacentral:misc_RNA from 1 species